rnacentral:snRNA from 1 species
AGCUUUGCGCAGUGGCAGUGUCGUAGCCAAUGAGGUUUAUCCGAGGCGCGAUUAUGGCUAAUUGAAAACUGGCCUUGUUGACCCAGACAAAACCCAUCUCUAUUUGUGAUUCCUCUUCUCCCCUCCCCAUCCCUUCUGUUUACAUAAAGGAG